rnacentral:rRNA from 1 species
GUGGUAUGAUAUGGACCCGCGUCUGAUUAGGUAGUUGGUGGGGUAACGGCCUACCAAGCCGACGAUCAUUAUCCGACCUGACAGGGUGACCGGCCACAUUGGGACUGAGACACGGCCCAAACUCCUACGGGAGGCAGCAGUGGGGAAUAUUGCACAAUGGGGGAAACCCUGAUGCAGCGACGCCGCGUGAGCGAUGAAGUAUUUCGGUAUGUAAAGCUCUAUCAGCAGGGAAGAAAAUGACGGUACCUGACUAAGAAGCACCGGCUAAAUACGUGCCAGCAGCCGCGGUAAUACGUAUGGUGCAAGCGUUAUCCGGAUUUACUGGGUGUAAAGGGAGCGUACACGGAGUGGCAAGUCUGAUGUGAAAACCCGGGGCUCAACCCCGGGACUGCAUUGGAAACUGUCAAUCUGGAGUACCGGAGAGGUAAGCGGAAUUCCUAGUGUAUCGGUGAAAUGCGUAGAUAUUAGGAGGAACACCAGUGGCGAAGGCGGCUUACUGGACGGUAACUGACGUUGAGGCUCGAAAGCGUGGGGAGCAAACAGGAUUAGAUACCCUGGUAGU